AGCUCCAGUAGCGUAUAUUAACGUUGUUGCAGUUAAAAAGCUCGUAGUUGGAUUUCUGACCUCGAGUGCUGCUUGCGCCGUGUCUUAGACGCGUGCGACAACGCAGCACCGGUCAUCCUCCGGGCGCCGUACAUUGCUUUUCACUGGGUGGAUGUACGCGCUCCCGGUCGUUUACUUUGAACAAAUUAGAGUGUUUAAAGCAGGCUUUAUGCCUGAAUAUAUUAGCAUGGAAUAAUAAGAUAGGACUUCGGUCUUAUUUUGUUGGUUUCAAGGACUGAAGUAAUGAUUGAUAGGGAUAGUUGGGGGUGCUCGUACUCAUGUGGCCAGAGGUGAAAUUCGAUGAUUCACUGGGGACGAACUUAUGCGAAAGCAUUCACCAAGGAUGUCUUCUUUAAUCAAG
rnacentral:rRNA from 1 species